GGAUCUUGGGGAAUAGGGAACCAGGAGGAAACUAUAAGUUAGACUGGAAUGCCCAAGAAAGAAAAGGAAACCAAAGCUUACUGGUCUGUCCAAGCUUGUCCAAUGAAACACUUCAUGUUAUCUGUUUGAUCUAGAAGUCCCAGUUCCAUAACUGGAUAAUCAAAAUCUUCCUAUUGUUUGGGUGAAGAUCAGGGACUAUGAACCAAUCUGCUUUGUAUUAAAUGUUGACUACUCAAUGCUACAGCUAAACAGACGAAUAUUAAGUUCUAUGCAUAAGUGAAUAGACCUAAGAAAAACUAACAAGCAUAUGCUGGAACAAGAUUUUUCAAACAAGAUGACCUUGUUUGUACAUAAUUGCUACCGAUGUAGAACUAUCUGACCUGGAUAAGAUAAUACCUGGUCUUUAUCUGAAAGGCAGAGAGCUAGCCAGAUAGCCUUCGGUCCUAUGUAGUUGGAUAAGUUUUUACAAAUUAUCUCAGCUAAUUUCCCUUCAACCCUAUGAGAACCUAGCUGAGACCUGAAGCAUCAGUCGUAAAAUUCUGAACGAUUGAUUUGAGAACUAGAACAAAAGGUAAGAACCAUCUGGCAUCCUUUAUUUCUGCCUGGUUCAAAAGGAAUGACCGAAGUAUAGGAUUUUACUGCAAAAUCUUAUCAGCAACUGUAUCUGGCCACUGAAGGACCUGUAAACAGUGUUAUGCCUAAAGAAGCUGAAGAGACCAAGCAGGUUCUUACAAGACGGGAACCAAUAUUAUUUCCCUAGUAUCUUGUCUACUGAAGUAGAAGAGAGAUUUCAGGUGAUAAGGACAGAGAGAACCACACAUUUUUUUCUUCAGGGAAUUACCAUUCUCAGAGUCAAAAACCCUUGUCAAAAUAUUUACACCUGAACUGUUCCUUGACAAACACCAGAACUGCA